CAGUUACCGAGGUUAUGACUGAUGGAACAACUUGUUUUACAUGCAGUCCGGUGAGAUUGUGUACCAUGUUGCUGCAGUAGGCAUAUUGUACAGUAGGGAGAAAAAUACUCAACGAUUUUAUCUCGAACAUACAGACGAUAUACUCUGUCUCUCUCUAUACAUCCUCUCAAAGAUCUUAUAGCUACUGGACAGUUGGGAGUGAAUGUCUGAUACUCAGCCUUGAUCUAGUGAAAUAUGGGGUUGUUGUCAUAGCAAUGGUAAUGAGGAAGUUUUUCAGAUCUUGGUCGGGCUUGUUGAGAAAACUCCAGAUUGUAGUGAUGAAGGCUAGAACAAAAGAGGUUGAAGACUGGUCAAAACUAAGGGUACAAUCGCUUUGAAUCAGGCGCCAUUUAUCCAAGAAAAGGCCAUUCUACUAGUUAAACUGAUGGUACAUAUAGGGAAAAGAUUCAUUGAUGAUCAGGAACUAAAUGCACAAUUUCUAGAACUUGUCAUCAACAUCUACAGGGAUGAAGGCCUUGAUCAUGAGUGGGACAGUGUUGACAACAAAAUUAGAACAGGCUUUCCUGGCUGGUCUCAGAUGUCAGCAACCACUCAUCCUAGGGAAAUUUGUAGAGGUUUUCAACAGCAGUAUUCCCCACGUAGAAUGUUUUAGAGACUGCUCUACAUAACAUGUUCACAGAACUGGGAACUGAUGGUAGGACACUUCUAGAUCAAACAAUGAAUUGAGGAUGAGAUAGAUAUAGAACUUUGUGUUGCUGCUGAUGAGGCAACACAGAAAAAAUCUUCAAAGAAAGAGAUACAGGACCCAAAAUAGAACUUACAGACAUUAUUGUAGAGACAAGCACAGUUCCUGGAGAAUUGUAGGGAGGUCAAUGUAAGAGUUAAGCUGACAUUGGUAGAUGUUUAUAGGAUGACAGUAGACUUUAAUUAGAAUAAACUGUGGUGAGCUCAUUGAAAGAGUAACAAGUACAAAGAGCCAGUGAGAAAUAAAAGUGGAAAGCCUGAGUUAUCAUGUUGGGAUGUCUUUAGAAGGAAGUAAGUGGAUGAAAAUGUUGGUAAAGGUCCUGUGAGAAAUUGAAGAUAAACUGACAAGACCCAAGGGUGUAAGGCUGUAGAAAAUGUCAUUGAAGAAUUUGACUGUCACAAAAUGUUAUAAAUUUGCCUUAGUCUAUACAAGAGCAUCAUUUUGAAGCAAAUUAAAGCAAAUCUAUGCUAGUUAGUGGAUCUAGAGUUUUAAAAAUCGUCAUGAAAUAGAAUACUGUGAAAUCAUUAUUAUUCAUGGGGGAUUAAUAUUGAUGGAUUCCGUGGUUCAGCUCAACCACCAGAUGAAGUCCCAACGAACAAAUUACACCCACGAUAAUGUAAAUUGUACUCAAUGUCACCAAAACAGACAACAAAGCUGUCCGAUCUGGUCCGUAGUUGUGUGCAUGCAGUAGUACUGACCUACAGCAUGUUUAUGGAGGCUCCGUCAAUGAUAAACAUAUGUAUGCAUUGGAACAAAAGGAACUAUUUUAUUUAGACAUUUACCCAUGGUUUGUUUACGACAUGCUUGUCAAAGUAAAUGUAGAUACUAAAAAUGUCAACCGCACUAUGCUGUGGCUGUUACUUGUAUUUUUUGGCCUCGCUCUGCAAUGUUUAUGUUUACGGACAUGUAGUAAAUUACUACUACUUUGGGAAUAUUAUAAAGUAGCAGCUAGAAUUGCUUCCAAUGCAUUAUUACCCAUUUACAUUACACAUUUCUUGAAAUAAUGAAUGUACAAGUUCUGCAGUUUGUAAUUUUAGAAGCAGACGCGCAUUCAUUUUGCAAAAGAAACAACAACAUUCGGAUGAAAGUUUAGCAAUCGUGUGCAAAAACACAUUUCUUUAGCAACAUAAAAUCAGUAAAUCUAUAAUAUUUUUAGCUCACCUGUCACAAAGUGACAAGGUGAGCU
rnacentral:lncRNA from 1 species